GUCCUGUGUGCUGUGGGGAACUGGGAGCUGGCUCUGUGACUGACAGUGCUGCCCUGGUGCAGCUCGGUCAAUGGCCUGCACAGCUGAGGCCUUCCUUAGCCAAAUGUUGCUGGAAUGUGAUCCCUGCUGGUUAAUCCAUCAGCAGGGCUGCAUUUGCUACUCCUUCAACAGCUGAGCAGUUGGGCCAGCUGCUUGGGUAGGGGCAAUACCACACCAUGGAGGAUCUGAGCCAUUCCAGGCUUUUAAUGGAAAGGCUGACAGGCUGCAAGGCUGUUGCCUUCAUAUCAGCAACAUUGUCCUGAUCUGUACUGCAGUAGCUGCCCAGAGCUGGGCAUCCCCAUGGGAGAUGGCAGGAGCCUGGCUGUGUUGCAGGAUGGGCAUGGAUAAUGGUGUUUUUAAUUUCUGUCCUGCAUCUAUUGCAUUAUUUAUGGGAUAGGAGGUUAGUUUUUAGAGGCUGGGAUGCGUUUACUAGGAAAAGGAUGAAGGAAGUCUUGCUGAUGCUUUGCCUUGUCAAGUAAGUCUUGAAAUUGUUUUAUUUUGCAGGGUAUUUGGAGCGGAGAGCUGGGGAAAAGAGAAUGUUUUUUGUCUUGUUCCCCAAAUCUGCCAUGUUACCUGGCUGCAGGUAGCUAAGUGAAGUGUACAGCACUGAAAAGGUACAAGGCCCUUAUGUAGCUGAGGCACAGGGGAGCUUACAGCUGCUCUCUGCGUGUCUGCUCCUGGCUGCCCUGGUCAGGUGAGGUCUGUGUCUCAGAACUGACAAGAAUAAAGCUAAUCUCAUAUUUUUUGCCCUUAAGCUGGCAGUCCUGAUGGCCACCUAGGCUGGCCCCAAGUGUUCCUGACUGCUGUGCUCAGGGUACAAACAGUGCCCUCAAGGGGGCUACCCCCCCUCCUGGACUUUCCACAAGAAUUAAUUAGGCUUAUCCUGCUUUUUAGCACUGGCAGUUACCACUAAGGAGCCCACAAAACAGGAGAAAGGGUAGGAAGGAAGCAUCCCUUUGCCAGCACUUCCUGCCAGUUGAGUUUUGUUCUCCUGUGUCCCAGAGCUAUAAAUAAUCCUUUUCCUUUAAGUGACACCAAGAAAUCUAGGGUGCCCUGGCUGGCUCCUGGAGUGGUGACAACACUUUCUCUCCUGCUGGAGCGAUUGGCAAAGCCAAAACACUGUGCCCUGCUGCAGUCGGAGGGUCACAGUGAAUGGGAAAGCAGGGAGCAGGAAUCACCACAGCAUGGCCUAAGGACACAGAUUUUGGUGGGUUUGUUUGUUUGUUUGUUUUCGGUGUGUGUGGUUUUUGGUUUUGUUUGUUUGUUUAAAAAUUUAAAUCCUCCAUAGUGUACAGUCACCAUUGUAUUUCCUUACAGCAUCACGGCAAGGGAAAUCGGGCCUCCAAACUCCCUGAGAAGCAGCUGUGAGGCUUUGUGUUAUAACAUGGAGAUUUAGUUGGGCAUGAGGAAAAAUGUCUGCAGUGGAACAGCUGCCCAGGGAAGUGGUGGAGCCACCAUGCCUGCAGGGUUUUCCUCAAGCCACCGAGGGGAGACUGUGCAUUCCUUCUGUGCCAGGCAUCAGCUGUGGCCAGCUGAGGGGGGCUGUCACUCCAUCCUUCAACACUCCACGACUUCCCUGGAGAUGCCUCGGACAAGGCACUUGGCUCAGAGAACCAUCUGCCAGCUACUUGGAUUAAACAGACUGGAGCAGGACUGUGUCCCAGGUCCACCUGGGACAGGUUAGAGUGAGGAAGAGGCUGCUGGAGGUGUUUUACCACCGACCCCCGCGGAG